rnacentral:rRNA from 1 species
GUGAGGAAUUUUCCGCAAUGGGCGAAAGCCUGACGGAGCAAUGCCGCGUGAAGGAUGAAGGCCUAUGGGUUGUAAACUUCUUUUCUCAGAAAAGAAUUAUGACGGUAUCUGAGGAAUAAGCAUCGGCUAACUCUGUGCCAGCAGCCUCGGUAAGACAGAGGAUGCAAGCGUUAUCCGGAAUGAUUGGGCGUAAAGCGUCUGUAGGUUGUUUAAAAAGUAUUCUGUCAAAGAUUAGGGCUUAACCCUAGAUAGGCAGAAUAAACUUUUAAGCUAGAGUUUGGUAGAGGCAGAGGGAAUUCCCGGUGGAGCGGUGAAAUGCGUAGAUAUCGGGAGGAACACCAAAGGCGAAGGCACUCUGCUGGGCCAAUACUAACACUGAGAGACGAAAGCGAGGGGAGCAAAUGGGAUUAGAAACCCCAGUAGUCC